GUCCCGCGCGGGCGCUGAAGCCUCAUUCCGGAGAGGCAGCCGGAGGAGUGGUCCCGGUGGAUUCUUCUACCCCGGUCCCACAGUGCUGGGUACAACCUAUCCACACAGAGGAAAAUACUGAUGGGCCUUCCUUGUCACAUGGUGAUGGUGACUGGAAUCACAGAAAUGGUGUCUAGAAGAAAAUAGGUCAUGUUACUCAGGGAAGCUUUAAAAUAUACAAUGAGAAGAAAAGGAGAGAAACAUGAGCAGACCUAGUGGAUUACAAAGGACUGGAGAAAGUGCCUGGGUGGCUCCGGUCAGUUAAGAGUCGGACUUCUGCUCAGGUCAUGAUCUCCUGGUUCAUGAGUUCAAGCCCCGCGUUGCACUCUGUGCUGACAGCUCAGAGCCUGAAGCCUGCUUUGGAUUCUGUGUCUCCCUCUCUCUCUCUCUCUCUGCCCUUCCCCCACACCCACUCUGUCUCUCUC